GCUCCAUGGAAGUGAGUAUAUGGAAAUGCUCAUGCACGUUUCUGUUUGAUGGUUGAGCCUGGAGAAGUGUUUGACUCGUAUCCUGCAGCAGUAUGAGCCACUGGCCAGCUACUUCAAGUCAUUAAAUGACAAACAGCCAAGGUUCAGGAGGCUUGUGGAGGCAUUCUCUGACUCAAUUACAGAGGUGUACCUACUGUUCUUUCAAGCAACUUUUCCAGUCUUCUCCACAUUCAACCUCCUCCUCCAGAGAGAGAAGUCGUCAAUCUUCCUACUACAUGAUGAGAUGAGGGGUUUUAUCCGCAAGCUGCUCUCAAAGUUUCUGAAGCCCGCAGCAUUGCAGCACCGGGAACUGCAUGAAAUAUGCUUUAAGGAGCCAUCCAACCAACUGCCAGGAGAAAAGUUGGUGAUUGGCUUCACUACUCGAGUUACACUCAACAGGCUCCUUGAAGCAGGAGCCAUUACACCAUCGUAGUAUGCCAUCAAGAAACUCCCCAUGAAAGAGCCUCUGAUUAAACAUGCCAUGUUUCUGGAUGUCCAGCAGAGAGCAGAGUGUGGAGUGGAAGAUGCCUUCUACUUUGUCGACAGAUUUCCUGAACUUCUCCCAUACAAUGGACCUGAAGAGCGUGACAAACUUUGUGAGGAGUUUCUGGACUACCAGACCAUGGACAUUGCCAUGCCCGACGACCCAGCAAUGUUUGACUUUAAGAGAUUUUGGGGGAACAUGGCAUCAAUGAAGAACAAGGUAAGAAUUAUUCUGUACUCAUGGGAAUACCCAUUGACAUAAUCAACUUAAUAGUACACAAAAAUACUUGUGAGUAAUUAGGCUUCCUAUGUGCAUUUUUCAAAGGUGACCGGUAUGAGCAGAUUUGGCAGGCUGUCUUGUAUUGCCAAGUUGGUCUUGGUCAUGCCUCACUCCAAUGCUGAUGCAGAGCGAGUUUUCUCUGUGGUUGGACUAAAUAAGACCAAGACCCGAAACAGUUUGGCUCUUGAGGGAACUCUGUCAUCCAUCAUGACCGUGAAGAUGGCGAGCCUUGAGCCAGACUGUUUUAAGUGGGAGCCCCCUGCCUCUGUCAUCAAGGCAUCAAAAUCUGCCACCAACACCUACAACGUUAGACAUGCUAAAUGAUUGACAAAUAAAUGUAUUUUGUCAAAAUUCUUGUCUUGUUAAUUUCUGGUUAAGAGAGGUUAGGAGGCCACAGUGCAGAGAGAGCAGCUGGCAUGGAGGUGAGGACAUCAGUCCUAAGGUAUAAAUCAAUGUUAAAAAAGGCAACUUUUUUUGGU